CCGAGUUUACAACUCCCAAACCCCUGUGAACAUACCACUUGUUGCCUCGGCGGAUCAGCCCGCUCCCGGUAAAACGGGACGGCCCGCCAGAGGACCCCUAACUCUGUUUUUAUAAUGUUUUUCUGAGUAAACAAGCAAAUAAAUUA
rnacentral:misc_RNA from 1 species